rnacentral:rRNA from 1 species
GGGUGCUCGAGUGGCGAACGGGUGAGUAACACGUGAGUAACCUGCCCUUGACUUUGGGAUAACUUCAGGAAACUGGGGCUAAUACCGGAUAGGAGCUCCUGCUGCAUGGUGGGGGUUGGAAAGUUUCGGCGGUUGGGGAUGGACUCGCGGCUUAUCAGCUUGUUGGUGGGGUAGUGGCCUACCAAGGCUUUGACGGGUAGCCGGCCUGAGAGGGUGACCGGCCACAUUGGGACUGAGAUACGGCCCAG